rnacentral:sRNA from 1 species
GCCAGGUGUUGUGGCAGGCACCUGUGGUCCCAGCUACUUGGGAGGCUGAGGCAGGAGACUCGCUUGAGCCCAGGAGUUGGAGGUUGCUAUGAGCUGUGAUGCCACAGCACUCUACCCAGGGUGAUAGCUUGAGGCUCUGUCUCAAAAAAAGAAAAAGUUAAUUUUUGCUCAAUUAAUAAUUUUUUUUUUGAGACAGAGUUUCAAUUAUUAACCCUCGGUAGAGAGCUGUGGCAUCACUGCUCACAGCAACCUCCAACUCCUGGGCUUAGGUGACUCUCUUGCC